UUCACGGGUUUAAUGUGCAGACCUGACGUUACGUGGCUUGUGACGUCUGGAGUCUGUUACUGUCUGUAGCCUCAUCACGUCCUGUCUCCAGCACUGUGGGUCUCACACGGCAACAUAACCAAGUGGACAGUCAGGUGAAAUCGCCCUGUGAGAGGACAUGGCUCCAGUAAGGGCCCUGAUCAUUGGCGCAGGAAACAGAGGACAGCUCUAUGCCAGGUUCUCAUUGGACAACAGUGAGCGCUUUCAGGUGGUAGGUGUUGCCAACCCUGGACUGGUCAGGCGCCAACGUUUUCAGCAGGAGUUCAACAUUCCCGAGGAGAAUGUCUUCACAG